UCCACAACUCACCUGACAUAAUCACCACCUUCACAUGUAACCCUAAGUGGGCUGAGAUGACAAUGCCACUUAAAUUAGAGCAACAAAAAAUCAAUAAGGCUACUGAGACUAAUCGUAUCUAUCGCAUGAAGCUACUUGAGUAUCUGCAGAAGAUCAAUGAAGGGAAGAUAUUUGGGCCUGUAAUCACUGGUACUGUGCCUAAUGAUUUAUCUCUGCUUUCUCCAUUUUCCUUCGGCAUGCUCGGCUAAUAUCCUCUUCUGUAGUUCUCCAUGACAUCGAAUUUAGAAAAAAUG
rnacentral:lncRNA from 1 species